rnacentral:rRNA from 1 species
UACGAGGGGGGCAAGUGUUGUUCGGAAUUACUGGGCGUAAAGGGAGCGUAGGCGGGCUCUUAAGUUGGAUGUUUAAAACCGGGGCCUAACCCCGGCGUGGCAUCCAAAACUGGGAGUCUUGAACGGGACAGAGGCCAGUGGAAUUAGAGGUGUAGCGGUGGAAUGCGUAGAUAUCUCUAAGAACACCAGUUGCGAAGGCGGCUGGCUGGGUCCACAUUGACGCUGAGGCUCGAAAGCGUGGGGAGCAAACAGG